UACGUAGGGGGCAAGCGUUGUCCGGAUUUACUGGGCGUAAAGGGCUCGUAGGCGGCCAACUAAGUCAGACGUGAAAUCCCUCGGCUUAACCGGGGAACUGCGUCUGAUACUGGAUGGCUAGAGUUUGGGAGAGGGAUGCGGAAUUCCAGGUGUAGCGGUGAAAUGCGUAGAUAUCUGGAGGAACACCGGUGGCGAAGGCGGCAUCCUGGACCAACACUGACGCUGAGGAGCGAAAGCCAGGGGAGCAAACGGG
rnacentral:rRNA from 1 species